rnacentral:rRNA from 1 species
AUUGAACGCUGGCGGCAUGCUUUACACAUGCAAGUCGAACGGUAGACCCUUUCGGGGGUUGAGAGUGGCGAACGGGUGAGUAAUGCAUCGGAACGUGCCCAGUCGUGGGGGAUAACGCAGCGAAAGUUGUGCUAAUACCGCAUACGACCUGAGGGUGAAAGCGGGGGACCGGUAACGGCCUCGCGCGAUUGGAGCGGCCGAUGUCUGAUUAGCUAGUUGGUGGGGUAAAGGCUCACCAAGGCGACGAUCAGUAGCGGGUCUGAGAGGAUGAUCCGCCACACUGGGACUGAGACAUGGCCCAGACUCCUACGGGAGGCAGCAGUGGGGAAUUUUGGACAAUGGGGGAAACCCUGAUCCAGCCAUGCCGCGUGCGGGAAGAAGGCC